GGCUCUGUGGUGCAAUGGAGGGCGUGUUGGACUUCUAAAUGUUAAUAGAAUGAAGUCAUUUAAAGGUUGUGGGUUGGAGUCCCCCCAGAGUCA
rnacentral:tRNA from 1 species